GCCUGGGUGGCUCAGUCGGUUAAGCGUCUGACUUCAGCUCAGGUCAUGAUCUCACAGUCCGUGAGUUCGAUCCCCGUGUCAGGCU
rfam:Felis catus isolate Cinnamon breed Abyssinian chromosome A1, whole genome shotgun sequence.